rnacentral:rRNA from 1 species
GACGACGCAACGCCGCGUGGAGGAUGAAGAUUUUCGGAUCGUAAACUCCUGUCGAAUGGGACGAAUAGAUUGCGGGUUAACAGCCCGUAGUCCUGACGGUACCGUUAAAGGAAACCCCGGCUAACUCCGUGCCAGCAGCCGCGGUAAUACGGGGGGGGUAAGCGUUGUUCGGAAUUACUGGGCGUAAAGGGCUCGUAGGCGGCCAACUAAGUCAUACGUGAAAUCCCUCAGCUUAACUGGGGGAACUGCGUGUGAUACUGGAUGGCUUGGAUUUGGGAGAGGGAUGCGGAAUUCCAGGUGUAGCGGUGAAAUGCGUAGAUAUCUGGAGGAACACCGGUGGCGAAGGCGGCAUCCUGGACCAAUAUUGACGCUGAGGAGCGAAAGCCAGGGGAGCAAACGGGAUUAGAUACCCCGGUAGUCCUGGCCCUAAACGAUGAAUGCUUGGUGUAGCGGGUAUCGAUCCCUGCUGUGCCGAAGCUAACGCAUUAAGCAUUCCGCCUGGGGAGUACGGUCGCAAGGCUG